UCUUCAAUAGAUCGAUAACUCUCUCUGUUCUACCUUCGAACAACUCGCUUUUCUUCUUCUUCUCUUUCUUCUCCUUGGAUUAAAUUCAGAUUGUGGACCGUUUCAACGUUAAUUAAAUUUUUUCUUUUGCGAAUUUGAAUUUGAGAAACCGUACAACUACUCUAAGUAUUUCCACACAUUACUGUCUCUUUUGCAAACGACCGAGCUCGAUCACAGUAAGUAUUAAUCAUUCUGUUUGAUUUGAUUACAGUAAGUAACGAUUAACAAAACAUCUCUCUUCAAUCAGUUCUCGAUUCCUUCUUUUUUUCUCAUGAUCGCCCCUCUAUCUGUCACCAAAAUAUUUGUUCUCCACCUCUCUUUCUCCCUUGCAUCAAGAAGUAAGGUCUUUAUUUAUAAUAAUAAUAAUUUUUUUAUCAAUUGGAAUCCUAAAUUUAUAAUUGUAUUUUUGUAGUUUUUGUGUUAAAUUAUUAAUUGGUUUAUUGUGGUUUUUACAUACGGGGUCUCGUAAGAUUUGGUUUGUCGA
rnacentral:lncRNA from 1 species